rnacentral:rRNA from 1 species
AAGCAGCCAUCAUUUAAAGAAAGCGUAAUAGCUCACUGGUCGAGUCGGCCUGCGCGGAAGAUGUAACGGGGCUAAACCAUGCACCGAAGCUGCGGCAGCGAACGUAUCACUUAAAGCGAUUCAGCGGGUUACGAUUGACGGAGCGAAGCGACGUCAAAGCGUAUACAAAGUCGAGUCGGUUUAAGGAUACGUUCGUUGGGUAGGGGAGCGUUCUGUAAGCCUGCGAAGGUGUCCCGUGAGGGUUGCUGGAGGUAU